AGAGUUCGAUCCUGGCUCAGGAUGAACGCUGGCGGCGCGCCUAACACAUGCAAGUCGAACGGCACCCACCCUCGGGUGGAAGCGAGUGGCGAACGGCUGAGUAACACGUGGAGAACCUGCCCCCUCCCCCGGGAUAGCCGCCCGAAAGGACGGGUAAUACCGGAUACCCCCGGGCGCCGCAUGGCGCCCGGGCUAAAGCCCCGACGGGAGGGGAUGGCUCCGCGGCCCAUCAGGUAGACGGCGGGGUGACGGCCCACCGUGCCGACAACGGGUAGCCGGGUUGAGAGACCGACCGGCCAGAUUGGGACUGAGACACGGCCCAGACUCCUACGGGAGGCAGCAGUGGGGAAUCUUGCGCAAUGGGGGGAACCCUGACGCAGCGACGCCGCGUGCGGGACGGAGGCCUUCGGGUCGUAAACCGCUUUCAGCAGGGAAGAGUCAAGACUGUACCUGCAGAAGAAGCCCCGGCUAACUACGUGCCAGCAGCCGCGGUAAUACGUAGGGGGCGAGCGUUAUCCGGAUUCAUUGGGCGUAAAGCGCGCGUAGGCGGCCCGGCAGGCCGGGGGUCGAAGCGGGGGGCUCAACCCCCCGAAGCCCCCGGAACCUCCGCGGCUUGGGUCCGGUAGGGGAGGGUGGAACACCCGGUGUAGCGGUGGAAUGCGCAGAUAUCGGGUGGAACACCGGUGGCGAAGGCGGCCCUCUGGGCCGAGACCGACGCUGAGGCGCGAAAGCUGGGGGAGCGAACAGGAUUAGAUACCCUGGUAGUCCCAGCCGUAAACGAUGGACGCUAGGUGUGGGGGGACGAUCCCCCCGUGCCGCAGCCAACGCAUUAAGCGUCCCGCCUGGGGAGUACGGCCGCAAGGCUAAAACUCAAAGGAAUUGACGGGGGCCCGCACAAGCAGCGGAGCAUGU
rnacentral:rRNA from 1 species